UUAGGAAUUUUGCGCAAUGGGCGAAAGCCUGACGCAGCAACACCGCGUGAGUGAUGAAGGCCUUCGGGUUGUAAAGCUCUUUUGUCAGGGAAGAAACGGUAGUAGCGAAUAACUAUUACUAAUGACGGUACCUGAAGAAUAAGCACCGGCUAACUACGUGCCAGCAGCCGCGGUAAUACGUAGGGUGCAAGCGUUAAUCGGAAUUACUGGGCGUAAAGCGUGCGCAGGCGGUUGUGUAAGUCAGAUGUGAAAUCCCCGGGCUCAACCUGGGAAUUGCAUUUGAGACUGCACGGCUAGAGUGUGUCAGAGGGGGGUAGAAUUCCACGUGUAGCAGUGAAAUGCGUAGAUAUGUGGAGGAAUACCGAUGGCGAAGGCAGCCCCCUGGGAUAACACUGACGCUCAUGCACGAAAGCGUGGGGAGCAAACAGGAUUAGAUACCCCCGUAGUCCCUGAGCGGGCUGGCAAGGCGCAU
rnacentral:rRNA from 1 species